UAGUCUAUUUUGGCUACUUGGAAGAUGGAACCCCAGUUGCAGUCAAAACACGCUUAGAAUCAUCAUCUCAUGGGGUUAAUGAGUUCUUGGCAGAGGCUCUACAUCUAAUAAGAGUUCAUCACAGGAACUUGGUCAAUCUGGUUAGCCACUACAAGGAUGGACACCACUCAACUCUUGUCUACGAGUAUAAAUUGCUAAUUUGCAUUGCUCUUUCGUGCAACAAGUGCGUUGAUACUUACAAACAACGAGGCAUGUGACUAUUUACUAUCACUGUUGUUUGGUAUUCGAACAUGUCUUUUCGAGGGGGAGAUGGGAACAGAUAGACUCAGUGAAAGUUGGCUGCACGUAAACUAUUGUGAUCAAGUUGGAAAAAAAUGUUUCCCCUCUUAACUGCUCCUGUUGGAGACUGGGGUCAGUAGUCACUGAAAUUUGCACACGCAUGGAGGAAUGAAUGAUGAUUCUCAAGUAACGAAGUUGUAGCCUUCACGACAAGAUAAAUGGAUGAUUUUGCAGCUC